rnacentral:tRNA from 1 species
CGGGGUGUAGCUCAGUUGGCUAGAGCGCGUGGUUUGGGACCAUGAGGCCGUAGGUUCAAGUCCUAUCACCCCGACCA